UAAUAAGUUACAAAGGGCUUAUGGUGGAUGCCUUGGGACUGAUUGACGAUGAAGGUCGUGCCAAUCUGCGAUAAGGCACGGGGAGCCGAUAAGGGGCAACAAUCCGUGCAUGACCGAAUGAGGAAACUCACAUAGUAGAGAUACUAUGUAUCAUUAACUGAAUUCAUAGGUUAAUGAAGUGAUACCCGCUGAAGUGAAACAUCUCAGUAGGCGGAGGAAAAGAAAACAACGUGAUUCCGUCAGUAGCGGCGAGCGAAAGCGGAACAGGCCAAACCAUCUUUAGAGGUGGGGUUAUAGGGCUACAAUGUGGACUUAGAUUGGAUAGCAGAACAAGUUGGGAAGCUUGGCAACAAAGGGUGAUAGCCCCGUAUGCGAAAUUCAAUUUAUACCUAGUAGUACCCUGAGUACAUCGAAACACGCGAAAUUUUGAUGGAAAUCACCGCGACCAUGCGGUAAGCCUAAAUACACAUCAGUCACCGAUAGCGAAUAGUACCGUGAGGGAAAGGUGAAAAGAACCCAGUGAUGGGAGUGAAAUAGAUUCUGAAACCAUAAGCCUACAACGAGUUAGAGCCCAUUAAUGGGUAAUAGCGUGCGUUUUGAAGUAUGAGCCGGCGAGUUAUUGUUGCAUGCAAGGUUAAGCUGUAGAAGCGGAGCCGUAGCGAAAGCGAGUCUGAAUAGGGCAUUUAGUAUGUAGCAAUAGACCCGAAACGGGAUGAUCUAGUUAUGAGCAGGUUGAAGGUAGAGUAACAUCUAUUGGAGGACCGAACCCACUUUCGUUGAAACGACAGGGGAUGACUCGUGACUAGUGGUGAAAUUCCAAUCGAAUUCCGUGAUAGCUGGUUCUCGUCGAUAUAAUUUUAAGAUUAGCGUUAGAUUAUUGAUUGCAUGGAGGUAAAGCUCUGACUGACUGAUGGCGCCACCUCGGCGUACUGAUUUCAAUUAAACUCUGAAUGCCAUGUAAUCUAUUCUAGCAGUUAGACUGUGGGGGAUAAGCUUCAUAGUCGUGAGGGAAAGAGCCCAGAUCAUUAGCUAAGGUCCCUAAAUUACACUAAGUGGAAAAGGAUGUUGGAGGUCUCAGACACCAAGGAUGUUGGCUUAGAAGCAGCCAUCGUUUAAAGAGUGCGUAACAGCUCACUUGUCGAGAUCUCCUGCGCCAAAGAUUCAACGGGGCUAAGUGUAAUACCGAAGCUAUGGGAUAUAUUAAUAUAUCGGUAGACGAGCGUUGUGUACUGCGAUGAAGGUAAAUCGUGAGGAUUACUGGAGUGUACACAAGUGAGAAUGCCGGCGUGAGUAACGAAUGAAAGUGAGAAUCUUUCAAGCCGAAUUGACUAAGAUUUCCAGGACUAGGGUCGUCCUUCCUGGGUUAGUCGGUACCUAAGGCGAGGCCGAGAGGCGUAGCCGAUGGAAAGCAAGUUAAUAUUCUUGCACCUAGUAUACGAAUGAUGGAGUGACGGAGAAGGUUAAUACAGGCCAGUUAAUGGAUUCUGGUUUAAGUAUCAAGUUUUGUGGGUUGGCAAAUCCGCCCACUUUAAGAACAAGAUAUGAACACUAAUGAAAACUUCGGUAAGUAAAUAAGCUGUAUAUAUCACGCUUCCAAGAAAAACUUCUAGUGUUAAUCGUAUAUUAGACCGUAUUGAGAACGAACACACGUGGUCAAGGAGAAUAUCCUAAGGCUAGCGAGUUAACUAUUGUUAAGGAACUCUGCAAAUUAGCCCCGUAAGUUAGCGAUAAGGGGUGCUCCGCAUGGAGCCACAGUAAAGAGCGAGUGGGAACUGUUUAUCAAAAACACAGCUUUAUGCUAAGUCGUAAGACGAUGUAUAUGAGGUGACGCCUGCCCAGUGCUGGAAGGUUAAGGAAGUGGGUUAGCCGUAAGGCAAAGCUCGUAACCGAAGCCCCAGUGAACGGCGGCCGUAACUAUAACGGUCCUAAGGUAUUUCGAUGCCUUAGUAAAACUUAACUAUAUGCUGGAAACUCUGAGAAUAUCAUGUUACCGACAACUAAGAAUAACUAUUUAUACAUAGUUAAGUAAUGUUACAAUUAAUUCAUAUAAAAUUGAAUUGACGGUAAAAAUAUAUGAUUGCAGACAAUCAGCAGGAAAGAUUAUUAAUUACUGAAACUAGUAAAUGAUUCCUUAGCGGAUUCAUUGAAGGUGAAGGUAGCGUAUGUGUAUCUAUCAAGAAGCACCCUAAUGGUCGCUUCGGGUAUAUAUUGGAUCCUGAAUUUUUCUUGUAUCAACAUAAAAGCCGCAAAAGCGUCUUGGAGUUGGCACAAAGAAUAUUGGGAGCCGGUAGAAUUUAUCCGAAAUGUGGCAAUGAAGAUGUCUUGGUGUUCACCAUCGACACAAAAGAUGCACUACUAAAAAACGUAAUACCAUUCUUUGACAAAUACAUGAAGUAUUCCUCAAGGACUAGUGAUAUUGAAAAAUUUAAGUCAAUUAUAUUUGAUUUAAUUAGUAAAAAACACUGGACUAAAGAGGGUAUGAUUGAAAUUGUUAAAACCGCUUAUACGAUGAAUAUGAACGGAAAACAACGAAGAAGAAAUAUAAACGAAGUAAUUGAUAAUAUCCUCAGAGACUAAACGUUAGGCACAUCUUGUAGAUGUGAAGAUAUAGUCCGAACUAUAUGGCGACAUAUAGAUGUUGGUAGAAAUAUCAGCACAGUUAUAAAACAAUAACGAGCAACAAACAAUUGAGCGAAAUUCCUUGUCGGGCAAAUUCCGUCCCGCUUGAAUGGCGUAAUCAUCUCUUGACUGUCUCGACAAUAGACUCGGUGAAAUCCUGGUGUGGGUGCAGACGCCCACUUGGCGUGAUUGGACGGAAAGACCCCAUGAAGCUUUACUGUAACUUAAUAUUGAGAAAAUAUCUUGUAUUUAGAGCAUAGGCGGGAGACUUUGAAACAGCGGCACAAGUUGCUGCGGAGUCACCACUGUAAUACCGCCAUUACAAUAUGUUUUUUCUAACUUACACCGGUCAUCCCGGUGAAGGACAGUGUUAGGCGGGCAGUUUGACUGGGGCGGUCGCCUCCUAAAAUGUAACGGAGGCGCGCAACGGUACCCUCAGCACGGUUGGAAAUCGUGCCUUGAGCGUAAUGGUAUAAGGGUGCUUGACUGCGAGACUUACACGUCGAGCAGGUAAGAAAUUAGGUCAUAGUGAUCCGGUGGUUCCGAAUGGAAGGGCCAUCGCUCAACGGAUAAAAGCUACUCUGGGGAUAACAGGCUGAUACUAUCCAAGAGUUCAUAUCGACGAUAGUGUUUGGCACCUCGAUGUCGACUCAUCUCAUCCUGGGGCUGUAGUAGGUCCCAAGGGUUCGGCUGUUCGCCGAUUAAAGAGAUACGUGAGUUGGGUUCAAACCGUCGUGAGACAGGUUGGUCCCUAUCUGUCAUGCCCGUAGGAAGAUUGAGAAGAGCUGCUCCUAGUACGAGAGGAUCGGAGUGGAGAUACCUCUAAUGUUUCAGUUGUCAUGCCAAUGGCACAGCUGGGUAGUUACGUAUCGAACGGAUAAACGCUGAAAGCAUAUAAGCGUGAAGCCGCCUUCAAGAUAAAUCUUCCCUCCCCGCAAGGGGUUAAGAAUCGUUGUAGACUACAACGUUGAUAGGUUAGAGUUGUAAGCACUGCGAAGUGUUAAGAUGACUAAUACUAAUAAUUCGAGAGACUUAAUAUU
rnacentral:rRNA from 1 species